AAGGGUAACGUGACACGGUAAAGGGUAUGACAAAAAAAGUAUAAAUACCCUCUAUUUUGUGGAAAAGCGGCUUCUGUCUCCAUAUAGUAGGCAAUUCAUAAAAAUGAAGGCAGUUUUGGCUCUGUUGGUUGUCCUCGGUCUAUCCUCCUGUGUUGUGGCCGGAGGUUAUGGAGGGGGUGCAGGAUACCACACCUAUGCUGCAUACAGACCUGCAGUAUACCAACAGGUCGGAUAUGCACAAACAUACAAACAGCCAUACUAUGUUCAACCUUAUACUGGAAAAGGGGUUGGCAUUUUUGGUGGAGGCAGUGAAAUCAUCAUUAUUUGUUUUUUCUUCUUCAUCUUAAUCGCUAUCUUUGCACCAGUGCUUAUUGGCUCCCUGGUUUCCAGUAAUGAUGCUCUCUGGACUUCAUCUAAAAGAUAAAUAAA